rnacentral:rRNA from 1 species
CAGUCGCCGCGGGAAUACGAAGGGUGCAAGCGUUAGUCGGAAUUACUGGGCGUAAAGGGUGCGUAGGCGGUUGUUUAAGUCUGUUGUGAAAUCCCCGGGCUCAACCUGGGAAUGGCAAUGGAAACUGGACGGCUAGAGUGUGUCAGAGGAUGGUGGAAUUCCCGGUGUAGCGGUGAAAUGCGUAGAGAUCGGGAGGAACACCAGUGGCGAAGGCGACUCUCUGGUCUGUAACUGACGCUGAGGAGCGAAAGCGUGGGGAGCGAACAGGAUUAGAUACCCGGGUAGUCCCUGUCUCUUAUAC